GUCACAACGCUGUAUUUACCUUCACCCUGGCUUGUGUAUAUAAGGAGUUCAGGCACAUUGAAUGCACGGCAUUCGUUGCACUAGGACAGUCAUGAUCGGGGUAUUGCGAAUAUCAGCAGAACGGGUUCCACAUCCUUGCAGAGCCAGCUUCUUCAGGCAUGGUCUGGGCCACAUCAACGCUCUUGGAGGUGGAAACCGAAACGAUAGUGUCACAUGCCUAAAAGAUAAGUUAGAAACAUUUUCUUUUGUAUGAUUAACCUUUGUAGUAUCUGGGGAUUCUGGGUAAGAAUUAUGGUCGUAAGAGGCGACUUAAUUGAUCGGUUUGUCAGAUACGUAUUUGAUAGGAUUUAAACGGGUGAUGCUUCUCGAUAUAUCAGUCACUGAGUUGACUGGUCAUGAGUGCGGCGUUAAACAAAAAUAGUAAAAACAGUUUCGAAUAUCAAAAGUUGUGUAGCUUAUACAUUGACGUGUAUAUUUAUGUUUUGCAGAAGAAAUACGAAAUGCACCAUAUGAAUGCCGAUAAGGGAUGCACGGCUGGUAUUGGCGGAUGGACAACUUUGGACUAGUUUUGGAGAAAAAACAAGAUAUACUCGGUUUUCCCUGGAGGUACCAGUUACCAAUAUGUUUUUUUUGUAUAUCAUGGAACUGGAUAUCACUGGAACAACCCGAACGAAGAUUGUGGGUGGAAGGACAGUUUAGGAAUGACGUUCUUUUACACUCCCAACUUGUGACCGAAUAAUGGCUCUAUCAUUUACGCCGCACUCAGCAAUAUUCCAGCUAUAUGACGGCGGUCCGUAAAUAAUCGAGUCUGGACCAGACAAUCCAGUGAAUGACAUCAUGAGCAUCGAUCCACACAAUUGGGACCGAUGACAUGCAUCAACCAAGUCAGCGAGCCUGACCACCCGAUCCCGCUAGUCGCCUUUUACGACAAGCAUAGUCGUAAGUGAAGCAUACUUCUGGUUCAAAUGGUUUUCGUUAUUUUCCUCCCUUUAAAUGAGACCAAAGUUUAUGUGGUUCGCUGUGUGGAACAGUUCAGGUUUCAGUUGAAGGAGGUGCAGAUAACAUGUUCUUCUACCAUGGCUAUGAAGGGUACCACAAUUUGUGAAUGAAAAUACUGAGAACCUUCUUGAGGUUUGCGAUGGUAAACAACAAACAAACCGUUUCUUUAAGCACACGUGGGAAGGUAAAGUAGAACGGAUCUCUGAUUUACUUCAUUGACUUAUAGGUCAGACUGUUUAUGACAUGUGUCUAAUCCACUUGAAUAAAGUACAUGUGUCUUUUA